rnacentral:tmRNA from 1 species
GGGGGUGUAAUAGAUUCGACGGGUAUCUGUUACGGCCCGGGAGCAGGUGCUGGUUGGCCAGGCCAGCUAAAAUAGGGCUACAAAAAUAACUAACGACAAUCAAGUCGCUUGGGCUAACGCUUAGUCCACUGCCUCUGCGAUGCUUUUCACACGUUGCAGAACGGCAGUCAUCAUGUGAAAUGCGGUAAGGAAGGCGCGUUUCGUCCGCCCUUGCCUAAGACAUACGAAACAAACCUCGGCGGUGCCGCCAUGCGCUUACGCUGAGGUUUUGCAAGCAUGGCUAAACCUGUAGCGUCUGGGUUGUUAGGAUGUUCGGACGGGGGUGCGAAUCCCCCCACCUCCACU